UACGUAGGUGGCGAGCGUUGUCCGGAUUUACUGGGCGUAAAGAGCGCGCAGGCGGUCGUGUAAGUCGAAUGUGAAAGCCCCCGGCUUAACUGGGGAGGGUCAUUCGAUACUGCUCGACUUGAAGGCAGGAGAGGGAAGUGGAAUUCCCGGUGUAGUGGUGAAAUGCGCAGAUAUCAGGAGGAACACCGGUGGCGAAGGCGGGUCUCUGGGCCGAUAUUGACGCUGAGGAGCGAAAGCGUGGGGAGCGAACAGG
rnacentral:rRNA from 1 species